GUGAAUCAUCAAAUUUUUGAACGCAUAUUGCACUUUCUGGUAAUCCGGAGAGUAUGCCUGUUUGAGGGUAAUUAAACAGAAUCUUUACAAAUUUGUUUGGUUAAAGGAAAUGAGUUCUCCGCGUUAAUAGCGGUAGCUUGAAAUAAUUGGCAGUUUCAUUUUAGUGGAGAUGAGUAAUAAUAUUAUUUUGGGAAAUCUUCAAUAUGUAACUAUCAAGUUUUAAUGUAUAAUAU
rnacentral:misc_RNA from 1 species